UACCUGCAGCUCGAGUGGUAACCGCUUUUAUUGGGCCUAAAGCGUCCGUAGCCGGUUUGGUAAAUAUCUGGGUAAAUCGUGAGGCUUAACUUCACGAAUUUCGGAUAGGACUGCCAGACUUGGGAUCGGGGGGAGGUCAGGGGUAAUCCAGGGGUAGCGGUGAAAUGUUGUAAUCCUUGGAGGACCACCGGUAGCGAAGGCGUCCGACUAGAACGAGUCCGAUGGUGAGGGACGAAGCCCUGGGGCGCAAACCGGAUUAGAUACCCGGGUAGUCCAGGGUGUAAACAAUGUGGGCUCUGUAUUGGAGGUCCCACGUGGGCGUCCAGUGCAGAAGAGAAGUUGUUAAGCCCACCGCCUGGGAAGUACGGUCGCAAGGCUGAAACUUAAAGGAAUUGGCGGGGGAGCACAGCAACGGGAGGAGCGUGCGGUUU
rnacentral:rRNA from 1 species